CCAUAGAGGAAUUUCCAAGAAAAAUUUGCAAAAAUUCUUUCAAAAAUCAUUUUCUACCGAGUAAAGGGUGCUUAACAAGGUGGAGUUGUUGUUGGAGCAAGCAAGAUUCACAAUCAUUCAAGUUACCAAGUUGUAGUCAAGUGAGAAGUUGAAGAAGAAAGAUUUUGACGAGAUUGCGACGUGAAUUUGGAAUAGCAAAAGGAGCGGAAAGAGGUAUGUAAGGCUUCACCCUUCCUUCUAUGGCAUGUCUUAGACGUAAUAAGUUGGGUACGAGCCUCGGGGACAACUCUAUUCCCCGGAAUCCGCACCUAAAGUUUCUCCUUUUUCCUUCAGUAGAAUUGAACUACAAAGUGUGCAAAAUGUUGGAAA